rnacentral:rRNA from 1 species
AUUGAACGCUGGCGGCAGGCCUAACACAUGCAAGUCGAGCGGAGCGGCGGACGGGUGAGUAAUGCCUAGGAAUCUGCCUGGUAGUGGGGGAUAACGUCCGGAAACGGGCGCUAAUACCGCAUACUACCAGAUGAGCCUAGGUCGGAUUAGCUAGUUGGUGGGGUAAAGGCCUACCAAGGCGACGAUCCGUAACUGGUCUGAUAGGAUGAUCAGUCAAGCGGGAGCUGAGAAUAGGUCCCAACGCCUUUGGUAGGCAGCAAGUGGGAAGAUUGAACAGUGGGCGAAAGCCAGAUGCAGCCAUGCCGCGUGUGUGAGGAAGGUCUUAGGAUUUUAAAGCACUUUAGGUUUGGAGGCGUUACCAUCUGAAUAUGCACCGGCUGACUGCGUGCCAGCAGCCGCGGUAAUUC